rnacentral:rRNA from 1 species
GUCAGCUCGUGUCGUGAGAUGUUGGGUUAAGUCCCGCAACGAGCGCAACCCUUGUCAUUAGUUGCUACAUUCAGUUGGGCACUCUAAUGAGACUGCCGGUGACAAGCCGGAGGAAGGUGGGGAUGACGUCAAGUCCUCAUGGCCCUUAUAGGUGGGCUACACACGUCAUACAAUGGCUGGUACAAAGGGUUGCCAACCCGCGAGGGGGAGCCAAUCCCAUAAAGCCAGUCGUAGUCCGGAUCGUAGUCUGCAACUCGACUACGUGAAGUCGGAAUCGCUAGUAAUCGUGGAUCAGAAUGUCACGGUGAAUACGUUCCCGGGUCUU